UACGGAGGGUGCAAGCGUUAAUCGGAAUUACUGGGCGUAAAGCGCACGCAGGUGGCUGAGAAAGUCGAUUGUGAAAGCCCUGGGCUUAACCUGGGAAUUGCAGUCGAAACUACUCGGCUAGAGUAUGGGAGAGGACAGUGGAAUUCCCGGUGUAGCGGUGAAAUGCGUAGAUAUCAGGAGGAACACCUAUAGCGAAGGCAGCUUGCUGGGACGUUACUGACGCUAAGGCGCGAAAGCGUGGGGAGCGAACAGG
rnacentral:rRNA from 1 species